rnacentral:rRNA from 1 species
ACAGCAGCAGCCGCGGUAAUACGGAGGGUGCAAGCGUUAUCCGGAUUCACUGGGUUUAAAGGGUGCGUAGGCGGAUUAGAAAGUCCGUUGUGAAAUCUCCGAGCUUAACUCGGAAAUUGCGGUGGAUACUAUUAGUCUUGAAUACUGUGGAGGUUAGCGGAAUAUGUCAUGUAGCGGUGAAAUGCAUAGAUAUGACCUAGAACACCAAUUGCGAAGGCAGCUGGCUACACAGAUAUUGACGCUGAGGCACGAAAGCGUGGGGAUCAAACAGGAUUAGAUACCCCAGUAGUCCCUGUCUCUUAUAC